rnacentral:rRNA from 1 species
UUUACAUCCGCCCGGGUAUUACGAACGAAAGUUUAAAACCCAAAGGACUUGGCGGUGCUUAACACCCACCUAGAGGAGCCUGUUCUAGAACCGAUCAUCCCCGUUCAACCUCACCCUUCCUUGCACCAUAGCAGCCUAUAUACCGCCGUCGUCAGCUUACCCUUUAAAGGCCUACCAAGUAAGCAAAAUCGGUUUUACCCCAGAACGUCAGGUCGAGGUGUAGCUCACGGAAGGGGAAGAAAUGGGCUACAUUCGCUAGCCUUAGCGUAAAACGAAUGGCAUAAUGAAACAAAUGCCUGAAGGAGGAUUUAGAAGUAAGCAGGAAGCAGAGUGUCCUACUGAAUAAGGCUCUUGAGCACGUACACACCGCC